rnacentral:lncRNA from 1 species
GGACUCUGUGCGCAGGCGCCGUGCUGCGGCCUGGGAGCCGGCGCGGGGCUGUGCGCUUGCGCGUUGGGGUCCUGGCGUUGCGGCUUCGCCCUGACGUCCAGGUUUCGCACGUCUUCGUCUUCCUGCAGUGUCUUGCAGCCCAGGAGCUUUGGCCCGGGGAGGAGUCAGGCUGCAGGGCUGGUGCCGUCGACGGGCCGGAGGGGCUGAGCCCCUGCUGUUCACGUCGACGGAAGGCGGAACACGCGGACGGGCAGCCCAGCACCGCCGCGGGGCCGCCUCCUGCUCAGAGGGGUGCAGCGUGCUGGCCGCAGGAGUGCACGUCACCAGCUCCCCGAGUGGUCCCCAGCCUGCCAGAGCUCGGGGUUCUGCAGGCAGGGCGUCCUGCGCGAAGGGUGUCACCCGUGGUGGAGAAGCUGUCUGCAGUGAAAGUUCUCUGCUCAGUUAUAAAUAGGAAUCAGGCAUGCCGCGUGUGA